rnacentral:rRNA from 1 species
AUUGAACGCUGGCGGCAGGCUUAACACAUGCAAGUCGAGCGGGGUGAUGGUGCUUGCACCGCUGACGAGUGGCGAACGGGUGAGUAAUGCGUCGGAACGUGCCGAGUAGUGGGGGAUAACGCAGCGAAAGUUGUGCUAAUACCGCAUACGUACUGAGGUAGAAAGUGGGGGACCUUCGGGCCUCACGCUAUUCGAGCGGCCGACGUCUGAUUAGCUAGUAGGUGAGGUAAAGGCUCACCUAGGCGACGAUCAGUAGCGGGGCUGAGAGGAUGGUCCGCCACACUGGGACGGAGACACGGCCCAGACUCCUACGGGAGGCAGCAGUGGGGAAUUUUGGACAAUGGGCGAAAGCCUGAUCCAGCCAUGCCGCGUGUCUGAAGAAGGCCUUCGGGUUGUAAAGGACUUUUGUCAGGGAGGAAAUCCCUAGUGCUAAUAACACUGGGGGAUGACAGUACCUGAAGAAUAAGCACCGGCUAACUACGUGCCAGCCGCCGCCGUAA